AGUUGGUCCGAAGGCUGUGGGUUAUUGUUAAGCUGUUUAACAUUGUCUCCCCCCACAGCCCCUCUUGACUAACUUGGCGUUUU
ensembl:misc_RNA Y_RNA Y RNA